AUCUUAACCUGGGGGUUGUCGUUUGUUUUUUUUGUUCUUUUUUUCCACAAAAAUUGGUUCUUUUAUGUGCAUGUAACCUUCAAUUUGAGCUCGAAUCUGUACUUUUGUAUGUAAAGCUCUAUGUCCAGACCAGGAUGCAGGGGAAAUGGACGAGACUGGUUCCCCACCAUCCAGUUCUUCCUGGUGUCAUUCUCUCUGUAUUUGGGAUACACGCGCGUCUCUGACUACAAAGACCACCCGGGCGACGUCCUGGUGGGACUGCUGCAGGGCCCUCUCAUCGCUGUGCUCACACGUCCUUUGCAACCACUGACAUCGACUCAAAGUAGAGCAGCUACUCCUCUGCAUCAACAAGAGCCAGUUAACGUGGUUCAGACAUCUGAUUAGGAUGCCUCCUGGGCAUGUCCCACUGGGAGGAGAUCCAGGACAUGCUUGAGAGAUUACAUCUUUCAACUGGUUAGGAACGCCUCAGUAUCCUCCUGAAAGACUGGGGAAGGUGUCUGCAGAGAGUGAGGUCUGGACAUUUCUGCUUUGACUGCUGACCCAUCAACCCUGCCCCAGAUAAGUGACAGAAGACGGAUGAAUCGAUGGCUAGAUGGGUUUGGGGCUUGAACUAGUUCUACAUUUUGUGGUCCCACCUCACAACGUAUAGAACCUAAAGGAUCUGUUGCUGAAGUCUUGGUUCUCAAUCUUCAGAGGUCUCCACCCAUUUAAUGUUGCGGUUCACUGAAUGUAUGUCUUCUUUAAUUUUGUCUUCUCUAUACAACAUUGAUUUCUUGAUCACAGCCAACGUAUACAAUCAAGCGCAGGCAAAAGAUUAAAACUCACCAUUUUAUUAUGAUAAUGUUAUUUGAUAUGUCAAAUUACAAGUGUAUGAUGUAACAUAAAAACAGUUACAAACAUAUGUAUGCAUAUUUACAUUAUAUUUAUGAAAAGUAACAAGCUACAUCUGUAUAAAGAAAAUACAACUAUGACAUGAGUUAUUGGUACUAUAAAUUUUACAACAGAUACUUGGUAUUCUCGAACCAUGAUAAUACCUAGACGUGUAGAAACCAAUAAAACCAGAACAAGAGAUGUUAAGAUGGAAACUAGGAUGGACGUGAGGCACUUUUUUGAGGUUGUCAGGAUGUGAAAGCAGAUGGCACUAAAAGGAAACCCAAAAAAAAAGAA